rnacentral:rRNA from 1 species
UACAGAGGGUGCGAGCGUUAAUCGGAAUUACUGGGCGUAAAGCGUGCGUAGACGGUUAUUUAAGUCGGGUGUGAAAGCCCCGGGCUCAACCUGGGAAUUGCAUUCGAGACUGAAUAGCUAGGGUACGGUAGAGGGAAGUGGAAUUUCCGGUGUAGCGGUGAAAUGCGUAGAUAUCGGAAGGAACAUCAGUGGCGAAGGCGG